UUUUUUUUUUCUUUUUUUUGUCUUUUUGCCUUUUCUAGGGCCGCUCCCUCGGCAUAUGGAGGUUCCCAGGCUAGGGGUUGAAUCGGAGCUGUAGCCACCAGCCUACGUCAGAGCCACAGCAACUCGGGACCCGAGCCACGUCUGCAACCUACACCACAGCUCACGGCAACGCUGGAUCCUUAACCCAACCCACUGAGCAAGGCCAGGGAUCGAACCCGCAACCUCAUGGUUCCUAGUCGGAUUCGUUAACCACUGAGCCACAACGGGAACUCCAGAGACCAAUUGUUUUAUUAAUUCUCACCAUGAUACUAGAUCUAGGAUGGGCUGUUAUUCAAUGCUCCUUUUUCCUACAGAUAAGGCUGAGUUCAGUUCUACUUUUUGAUCUGAGCUCCUGCUUAAAUUCACUCCAACGAAUUUAAGUUGGUGACAUUUUCGCCACGCAUGGGUAGUGGCACGCCCACAGGAAGAGCAAGGCUUUGGAUCGCCAUGGACAUAGCCGUGGAUUGAUCUCAAAAUAUUACCAGUUCUGAGCAUAUGACUCAAGAUAGCCUUAGUUUGGUCGACUAUAAAAUACGAGCACCGUUUGUGAUUAACUAUAAUAAAUGUAAGAACUAGCAUCUAGUAGAUAUUUAAUAUGUGACAUCUUGUAGAGAAGAACAGAACUGUAAAAAAUUAAACUUCAAAACAGAUGGAUGGAAAUGCUAGGAUGUUUAAAAGUAAUAUCUGCUGAGCCAUGGCACUAUCAUGGUAUCAAAAUCCCCCCGAGGCUCUUGCUAAAUGAUUAUGAUCUUAUAAAUUUCUGGGUCCCACUGUCAGACCUGCAGAGCAAUCCCAACAGUUUGGAUCCAGGAAUCUGUAAGUUUGUGUUUUCAAAACAAACUCAUUCUUUUUUGGUGGAGGGGGGGACCACCUGUGGCAUAUGGAAAUUCCCAGGCCAGGGGUUGAAUCGGGGCUGCAGCCAGAACCUACACAACCGUCACAGCAACACUGGAUCCCAGCCACAGUCCCCGACCUAUGCAGCAGCUUGAGGCAAUGCUGGACCCCUAACCCACUAAGCAAGCCCAGGGAUCGAACCCGCAUCCUCACAGACACUGUCCGUUUCCUACCCCGCUGAGCCACAACAGGAACUCUCAUUCAUUGAUUGUUAUGCUCAUUAAAGCUUGAGACUCUCUAAGAGCUAGAAAGAGGAAACCUAUCAGUAAGUGACCGGAAGGACACAGACGGUACCCUGAGCCUGGAAUAAUUCCAGGAGGCUUCACUGGCAGAGGGACGGAAUGUAAGGGAAAUUAGGGCAGUAACUGGGGAACCACAAGAGAUAAGGCAGAAACCCAGGGUGAGGAGGCCGGGCUGUGAGCCCCCCGAAGAUGGAUGUAGACUCGGGAAGAGGGUGAGCUGUGUGGAGGAUGCUUCCUUUAAAAGAAGCAGUGACUGGGGAAUUCCCGUCGUGGUGCAGUGGUUAACGAAUCCGGGAUUACGUGAACUGUAAACAGAUCAAACAUUUCAAUUAAAGGCAAAGAUGAUUAUGCUGGAUUUUUUUUUUUUUAAAUCAAGACUCAAUUGUAUGCGGUUGAUAAGAGAUGCACUUCAAACAUAAAUACACAGACAAGUGGGACAUAAAAAAAUGGAAAAAGAUCUCCACGCAAACACCCAUCGAGGACAGCGAGGGUGGAUCUACCGAUUCGGACAAAGACGACUUCAAGACGAGGAAAAUUACUCGAGGUGGUCAGGGUCAUUUUUGUUCACACCCGUUGGAUCCCGCAUGUUCUCGGGAGACCAAAAAGAGAUAAAAAAAGUAUGACGAUAAAAGAGGGCAUCGCCGGGCAUUUUUGGCUUGUCUCCGCCCCCAGUCGUGUCUUAACCUAUAGAAGCACGUCCAUCAGUGUCUUGGACGUAUCCUCUCUCUUCCCAGCCAGGUACCAGCAGCGUGAUCUAUGGGAAGGGGCAUAAUUCACCGGCGAGGCUUGACUAUAGAGGCUGUAAUCAGCAGUGACGUGCUUUUGUGACAGUUCUGUAUAAAAAAUGACGAACAUAAAUAAAACACGCUGUAUAUUACAGGGUAACAGAAUAUAAAGCAUCACAGAUAGAGUCCUCCAGCCAGGAGCAUCCAGAAUUGAAGCCCGUGAGCGACGGCCGGCCGAGGGCAAGGGAGAACGCAGCCCCGCAGCUCGCCCCAGCGGCGCCCCGGCCAGCGGCUCUCAGCCGGCCCAACGCCAGGACCUUCUCAACAGGAGGCGACCAGGUUGGUCCGCAAAUCUCUAGGACUUCCCAUCAGGCGUCCAGAGUGGGAUUUUAGUUUUCACUCGACCCAGCUUCUCGCCGAGGCUUUUCUCUUUAAUGUGGUCCUGAAUGCAGCGGAGAAGGAUGGGCACGGUGUUGUGGAAAGGACCACAGUACCAGAGUCAAGUCAAAGUCUGAAUUUGGAUCCCCCUGCCCAGUAAUGAGGUUGUUCUUGGAUAAGCAUGGUGACAGUUUCUUAGCUUUUUUUUUUUUUUUUUUUUUUUUUUUUUUUUGUCUUUUUAGGGCCGCUUGCUCGGCAUAUGGAGAGUUCCCAGGCUAGGGGUCAAAUUGGAGCUACCGCUGUCGGCCUACACCACAGCCACAGCAACUUGGGAUCCAAGCCGCGUCUGUGA
rnacentral:lncRNA from 1 species